GAUGAACGCUAGCGGCAGGCCUAAUACAUGCAAGUCGAACGGUCCGCUUCGGCGGAUAGUGGCGCACGGGUGCGUAACACGUAUGCAACCUACCUUACAUUGGGGGAUAGCCUUUCGAAAGGGAGAUUAAUACCGAAUAAGACAGUAGCUGGGCAUCCAGUAGCUGUUAAAGAUUUAUCGAUGUAAGCUGGCAUGCGUCCAAUUAGUUAGUUGGUGAGGUAACGGCUCACCAAGACGAUGAUUGGUAGGGGAACUGAGAGGUCAAUCCCCCACACUGGCACUGAGAUACGGGCCAGACUCCUACGGGAGGCAGCAGUAGGGAAUAUUGGGCAAUGGACGCAAGUCUGACCCAGCCAUGCCGCGUGCAGGAAGAAGGCGUUCUGCGCUGUAAACUGCUUUUAUAUGGGAAGAAACGACCCUUGCGAGGGGCAUUGACGGUACUGUAUGAAUAAGCACCGGCUAACUCCGUGCCAGCCGCCGCAGUAAAAC
rnacentral:rRNA from 1 species